rnacentral:sRNA from 1 species
UGCUGAAUAAAAAACAGCGAGACCACGCAGUAUUUAAAGGACUGAAUCGCUAGGGUUUUAGUUUCUGUAAGCACAUUAGGGUCGCCGCGCCUUCUCUCCACAGCCAGGAUCUAGGGUUUUCUCCGAGCAGCGCCAAGGAAAUGGCUCCCGCCGCCCCCCAAGAGUGGGAUCUUCGUCGGCCUCAACAAGGGCCACAUCGUCACCAAGCGUGAAUUGCCUCCUCGCCCAUCUGACCGCAAGGGGAAAACUAGUAAGAGGGUGCACUUUGUGAGGAAUUUGAUCAGGGAAGUUGCGGGGUUUGCUCCCUAUGAGAAGAGGAUUACCGAGCUUUUGAAGGUCGGGAAGGACAAGCGUGCUCUUAAGGUGGCCAAGCGAAAGUUGGGUACCCACAAGAGGGCCAAGAAGAAGAGAGAGGAGAUGUCCAACGUUCUCCGCAAGAUGAGGUCUGGUGGUGAUAAGAAGUGAGCACUUGAAGGGUUGUCUUUAUGAAUGUAGUUCAGUAUCUCUAUUAGUUUUGGACAUGCAUUUUAUUAAGGGAUUUUUAGACAUGGUAUGAACUUUGUAAUUUUGAAUGUUUUGAGACUUUCGAUAUUUUCUAAGCAUCGGAUAUUUGCCCUUCAGUUCUCAAGGUAUGUCUUUCAAGUUUGUGAUUGACUUAGAUUUACUAAAUAGUUGACGCUUGUGGCAGCAUUUCUCUUAGUGUAGGGAGAGCCGUGGUUACUAGCGAUGGGCAAAAGUCUUGAUGUGCCCUCUGUACUAAAACUCGUUGGAUGUUUGAUUUUUGCGGUCAUCACUUCGUAGUAUGUGCCUUUCCCUAUAAUGUGUACACUAAAACUCGUUCGAUUUUUUUUUUAAUUCAUACGAUUUGAUAGUCGAAAUUAAAAGGUGUGUGAUGGCACUUCCGUCUAGAAAUUAUGUUCCUCUCAAUAUCAAUUUUUUUGUGCAUUGAUGAA